rnacentral:lncRNA from 1 species
UACACACAAUACUUCAAAUAACAACCAAAAUAAGUUAGUUACACGUAUAACUUAGAUAAAAUGGUAAUCACAGCUAGAAGCUCUACAAGUGUAACCACAACCACAAGCUCUACAUGUUUCUACAAGUGUACCACAAGCUCUACAAGUGCGCUUUGACAGCUUCAAGUGACCCUUCAUGACGGUAGGAAGAUGGUUUCUACCAGUCCCGAUUUAAGGAACACACCAGGCAUCACGGUCUUCCCGAUAGUGCUGACCAAGAUCUCAUCCUUCAUGGGCAUCAAAGUGAUGCAGCUGAAUGUGCCAGGAAAAGGAUUACCUGUCAACAGCCGAAUUUAUACAAGAUAUCAACCUUUCAGUGGUGCAGAAUAUCAUAGAGACACGUGCUUCAGCAUUACAGGGCAUGGAAACGAAAACACAUUUUUACAAAGGGCAUACAAUUAAGAAUUUACUAUCCCCAAAAUUAAAUUAGAAAAAACGAAAAAAACAAUGAAGUGUAAAAGAUGACAACCUUUGUGUUUCUACUUCCUACAAAUGACUAAGAUCCUCAAUAAUAUAGACCCGUUUGUUACAUACUGUACACGAUAUUAGGAGCAAAAUUCUAAUAAAUUCAUUACAGGCUUGCCAAUAAAAAUGACAAGUUACCUACAGACCAGGGAACAUAAAAUUGAGAGGUUGAGAUAAAGGUUUAUCAACUACAUCAUAUAUAUGCAUUAGAAACAAGCCCAUAUGGACAAAUGCAUCAUAAUUAUUAGUUGAAAGUAGGUGCUGCCUCAAAUUUAAAAACUCAACCAUUCAUCAUUAAGAGUAGCGAUUUAAUCUUACUAGACAUAGGGACAUGUACAACGUGAGAGCACACUACAGCCAGAACUUACACGCAAAGAUCCUGGAAUUUUAUGCACAACAACAGCUGAUUAGUCGCUUACUACCGUAGACGAGACGUCAUCCUCAACUACUAGCACACUACCUGCAUCAACCAGAAUAACUAGACUGAGAUUGCAUCAUGGAAACUAGAAUUGGCAAUCGAUUGUUCCACAGUAAUAGAAAAAAAAUACAUGGUCAGUACCUUGCCAUCGUGUUGAUUUGGGACAUCCUCCAUCUUAAAAACUGUCGUGCCAGGGAUGGUGGUGCCUAGUUUUCACUAUUUCUGUUCAUGCUUGCCUGUGCAAAAAAGCAAAAAUGAAUGGACUAUUUCCAUGACUUCUACGCUGAACCAGUUUUUCAUAUAUUUGCACGGGUGAAAAACUCAAGCAAAAGAAGAAAGCAUGCAUGCAAAUUAUUUCUCCCUUUUUAUCUACCUCUCUCUCUCUCCCUCUCUGUGAUUGCCUACACAAACACAUAUUAUUGCC